rnacentral:lncRNA from 1 species
UAAAAUCCCCUUUAAACAGCUACAUUGUCAGCCCAUAGGCCUCAUUUAGAACUACAAAAAAGCCCAGAUUAAUUCGAUCAAAGAAAGAGCCAAGUACAAAAUGCACUUUUCAAACUGUAUCAGAGUGGGUUCGCUUUACAGAUCGCUUCGGGGCAAGAACCGCAGGGGAAAGAAAGCCCUGAAAUAAAGCUUGGUUACGAAGCGAAAUAACUAGGUUUGGCUCCUUCUCUGAUUUAUUGGAGCACCUCAAGGCGAAAAUCUCCAAUUAAAAAUUCUUAGAGUGCAAGAUAUUUAAAUAUAAAUGCUGAAACAGACCCCCACAAAUCUCAGCAUCCCGUGUGUACCCUUGGCUCUCAGUCACCAUUCUUAGGAGGAGGCCCUUGGAAGCCUCGCCUGGGUAACCUGGUUAGGAGUGGGUAUUUCUGAAGUCGCAAACACCCCAGUCAGCCAGAGGGCUUGGCACUUGUAAACAUUUAUAUCCGACUCUCCUCGCCCCAUCCCCGGAGGAAAUGUUUUUAAGUUACCGCAAGAAAAGAAACGGCUGGAAAACAAAGGAAAACGGUGAUGACAACAUUUCUUUCCACGAAACAAAACAUGCCCAAGAUUCGGGUCGAAUUCCGGGCUUAGGAGCCUGCUUGCGAGCCCCGCUUCUACAGGCAGGCAGGCGGGACUGUCGGUCGGUCGCGGGGGCUGUCGCUUUGUUUUAGUCUCACCUGGGGGUCUGGAGGUGGGGGAGAGAGCUGGGGUGAGCCAGGCUGGAGUUGGGGUCUCUUAGGGACGCUCCAUUAGUGUCCUAGGCGGGGCGAGCGGCGUCCGCUGGAGCUGGUGCGGCGGCGCGCGGCGGGCGGGCUCCCUCCCUCUCCGCCCCAAGCAGCGCCCCUUCAGCGGCCGCUUUUGUGCGCCGAGAACAUUUUACUGGGGAGGGAAGGGCAGCACAAAGGUAGGGCUACGGGACGGGUCUUGCUGGAUGUGCCGCUGCCUCUUCAGGGACCGAGCGGAGCCAGGAGAGUGCCGAAAACAACGGGCAGCUGCAGUAAAUACCAAAGUCAUUUGCAGGAGGGAGGAACCCCGGGAGGAUCUCAGCCGGGUGUUUCAGCUCAAGCUUUUGCUCCGCGACGGACGCACUCGAAGUCCUGAGUGGUCUGCUGUCCCCCCAGACCCACCCUGGAAACAAAAGAACAUCGUGCUGCUGUCAUCACAUCGCAUAGAAUGUUUAGAAAGGGCCACGCUUACCAAGACGCUCCAGCCAGCCAACACCGGUCCUGAACUUCUUGGCCGCAUGCUAGAAAUGCACCGGGCUGGAGAGCAGGAGAAGAAAGGAACACGUGCUGUGAUAUAUCGUAAAAGCCUCAAGGCUCUGUUAGGAGAUCUGAAUUCUGGUACUGGAUCUGCCUCUGAUUAACAGAAUGACCUUGGCUUAGUCGCCUUCCCUCUCCAGAUCUUAACUUUCCUCAUCCAUAAAAUAAGGCUAAACCAGAUGAUUUCGAAGGGCCACCCAAAAAAAUUUCAAAGAACGAUGAGAGCUUUCCUCUAGAGAAUACAGACAACGGUAAUACAAUGGGUCUAAAAUGAGUUUCUCAUGUUAUGUGCUUUCUAGGUAACAGAAUAGCUUCAUCGGCAUAGGUUUGGCUUGAAAGGUUUCCUCCCCUAACCUGCUAAAGGCUCUGGUCCUCCCUAGGCUAUGCAUAAGAAUUAACUUCAGCCAGGUCUAUUUGAAAUUAGCCGUGAAGUUUCUGGCAGUUGGCUGCAACAACUGAUCCCCAGUCUGAAUCCUCCAUAGGGAAGCCUACUUGACCUAUCUGGGCAUGGAACCCAAGCUCUUAGUCUCCUAGAAACAGUUUCUAUGUCCUCUUCAGUCAAAUGAAAAACAGGAUGCCAUUAAAAAGAAAUUUAUUUGACAAAUAUUUAUCUGAAACAUUUUCUAUUUAUAAAAGGGAAUUCUUGGUUUAGUCAUAAAUAAUUCUAUUACAGGUAUCAGUAUCCAUGCAUUCAUUCAAGAAAUAUUUAUUGAGCACCCACAUUGCACCAAGCACUCUUCUAGGUUCAAUAAAUCCAAGAGUGGAAAAGAAUAAGUUCUCUGUUCUCAUGGAGCUUACACUCUAAUGAGAGGGGCCAGGAAGAGACAGUAAACAAAAAUAAGUGUAGGGCGGUGGGACAGGAAGGGGGUGGGCUACACCUCAUCGGUGGACUCUUUGGAAAAACUAGCCAUGCAUAGCUCAGGGAGGAGCGCACUCUGGGCAGAGGGAAGAGCUAGGGACAGAAAGAAAGCCAGUGUGGCUAGAAUGCAAUGGUGGAGGAAGUGAGUGGUGUGAAAUAAAGUCAGAGAGAUAGGUUUGAGCUAGACCACUUAUGUGAUUUGAUUUUAUGCUAAUUAUAGGAGGGUGCAUAUCAGAGAGUUUUAAGCAGGCUAGCGACAUGAUCUACAUUCCCUUUUUAGAAAGUAUUCCUGCUCUGGGAAGAG